GAUGAACGCUGGCGGCGUGCCUAAUACAUGCCAGUCGAGCGAACAGACGAGGAGCUUGCUCCUCUGACGUUAGCGGCGGACGGGUGAGUAACACGUGGAUAACCUACCUAUAAGACUGGGAUAACUUCGGGAAACCGGAGCUAAUACCGGAUAAUAUAUUGAACCGCAUGGUUCAAUAGUGAAAGACGGUUUUGCUGUCACUUAUAGAUGGAUCCGCGCCGCAUUAGCUAGUUGGUAAGGUAACGGCUUACCAAGGCAACGAUGCGUAGCCGACCUGAGAGGGGGAACGUCCACACUGGAACGGAGACACGGUCCAGACUCCUACGGGAUGCAGCAGUAGGGAAUCUUCCGCAAUGGGCGAAAGCCUGACGGAGCAACGCCGCGUGAGUGAUGAAGGUCUUCGGAUCGUAAAACUCUGUUAUUAGGGAAGAACAAAUGUGUAAGUAACUAUGCACGUCUUGACGGUACCUAAGCAGAAAGCCACGGCUAACUACGUG
rnacentral:rRNA from 1 species